AUGUCAAAGUGGAAAAAUGGAAAUUAUGGCCUCAACAGUGUGCCGCCACAUAGCCGGAAGGGUCAAUCGAGUCUUCUCGUCGCUGUGGUUGACAUGAAGAAGGCAAUGGCAAAAAAUAACAUCUUCCAAGUGAUCAUUGUUUUUCUCAUGGUGCAAGUCUGCUUGCUCAUGAUGAUGGCAGCACCGGCAGCACAUGCAGCUGCUAGACCAGUGGGGUACAAUCCAGUGUGCUGCCCUAGGAACAUUUACUGUUGCGGGUUCGGUGGCGCAUUGGCCAGUGCACCUGCGCCAUCCAUUGAGCCUUGA
rnacentral:rRNA from 1 species